GCCCCCGUAGCUCAGAAAUGGACAGAGCAAUGGAUUCCUAAUCCAUGUGUCCCCGGUUCGAGUCCGGGCGGGGGCGCCA
rnacentral:tRNA from 1 species